rnacentral:pre_miRNA from 1 species
AAUGUUUGACGUCGUUGACUUUUUAUCACAUGUUUGACCGUUCGUCUUAUUCAAAAAAUUUAAGUAAUUAUUAAUUCUUUUCCUAUCAUUUGAUUCAUUGUUAAAUAUAUUUUUAUGUAGGCAUAUAAUUUUACAUAUCUCACAAAAGUUUUUGAAUAAGACGAACGGUCAAACAUGUGCUAAAAAGUCAACGGUGUCAAACAUU